GUCUGCUGACCCUGAGCAGGACAUUUCAUACAGCACAGUGAGCCACACCAGAGAAACAGCACAGCAGGCCCCAUUUCCUGAAGAUGAUGAUGAUGUCACAUACAGCACUGUCAUCCCCCAGCACAAGGCCCAACUAAAAGUACAGGCCAAGGCAGCAGAACCAGAUGAUAAUGUGGUCUACAGCUCACUAGCUCUACAGGUGACCACACAGCAGAGGGCAGCAGCAGAACAGCAUUGACUGACUGAGUGACAUUGGUUGAGUUCUU